CCCUUAGAUGUUCUGGGCCGCACGCGUGCUACACUGAGUGGAUCAGCGGGUCAGGUUGCGCGAAAGUGUUUCCUAAUCUUGAAAUCCGCUCGUGAUGGGGAUUGACGGUUGCAAUUUUCCGUCAUGAACGAGGAAUACCUUGUAAGCGCGGGUCAUCAUCCCGCGCUGAAUACGUCCCUGCCCUUUGUACACACCGCCCGUCGCUACUACCGAUUGGAUGGUUUAGCGAGAACUUUGGACCGGAGCUCGGGUGGUCAGCAAUGGUCGCCCGAGAUGUCUGGGAAAUCGUUCCAGCUUGAUCAUCUAGAGGAAGUAAAAGUCGUAACA
rnacentral:rRNA from 1 species